CCUGAGAAACCCAAAAGAUCGAAUGGGGAGAUUCAUCGUCAGCGCUGCUGGCUCGCGUGCGAACUGCGAUGUUGCGGGCCUCGGCUCGGAGCACGCGUUCGCUGCGCGUGUCCGGUGGCGUCGGCGUGCACUUCUCCCCUAGUAGGACGUCGCGACCCGUUGGGUGCCGGCCUACGGCUCGGAUGCUCGCCUGUCGCAAGCUUGCUCGCGACAGAGCUCCGAUCGCCCGGUUGGCUGCCCGGCGGUAUAGAUCAAAGCAUUAUACGGUAUUGAGCCGCACAAAGUGCGUUCUGGCUCGGCGGCAGGCUCGCCUCGCCCGGAUUUACGGACCUGGUGCCGUUGUCGGGUGCUUGGUCGGGCCGUUAGUCGUCGAUGUCCUCGGACCGGCUCUCAUAUUCGAACGGAUAUACCGGUCGGCGACGCUACUGCUUUGGGUACUUUCAGGAC
rnacentral:rRNA from 1 species